UACGUAGGGUGCAAGCGUUAAUCGGAAUUACUGGGCGUAAAGCGUGCGCAGGCGGCUAUGCAAGACAGAUGUGAAAUCCCCGGGCUCGACCUGGGAACUGCAUUUGUGACUGCAUCGCUGGAGUGCGGCAGAGGGGGAUGGAAUUCCGCGUGUAGCAGUGAAAUGCGUAGAUAUGCGGAGGAACACCGAUGGCGAAGGCAAUCCCCUGGGCCUGCACUGACGCUCAUGCACGAAAGCGUGGGGAGCAAACAGG
rnacentral:rRNA from 1 species